GCCGCUCCUCCCCACCAGCGACCUGCCCCAGAACUUCGAUUGGAGAGAUCACGGUGCCGUUACCCCUGUCAAGAAUCAGGUCGGUAGAGGGCGAUCUCUAUGCAUCGUAUCUAGUUAUCUCUUGCGUGUCUAUGGGUCAUUACUUUGGCGUCCGGAUUGUAGGGCUCUUGUGGAUCUUGCUGGUCUUUCAGCGCAGCGGGGGCUCUGGAAGGGGCCCACUUUCUGGCGACGGGAAAUCUAGUGAGCCUCAGCGAGCAGCAGCUUGUAGAUUGUGAUCACGAGGUAUGUCUUUCUAUCCCAGAAGACUAGGCCUUUUGUGUGUUUUCCUCUGAACAACGCGUCCCAUCUACCGCUUUUGGGACUUCUGGCCCGCACGGUUGCUGAGGUUGGUUACAACUACCACAUCGGAUUUUUUUGGAUCAUUUGCGUCAUAUGUUUAGGACAUGAUACGUGCAUAAUACCUACGUAUUCAUGUGCCUAUAUCUCUCAAGUAGACUUCUUCGAAUCUAUCCAUGAAAGUUGUGAUAAUACGUUUGAUGAGUGACAUUCACAUGUCUGAGUCUUUUAUGAGGAAUCAACAAUCCAUGGAUAUCUAUGGAUUCCUGUUCUGCCAUAUCCCCUCAGUUUUUCCUGAAUUUAUUCCAGCUUCUUCAGGGAGCAGGUCUUAUAUUAUUUAUAGGUUUGUCAAAAAAGUGUGAUUUUUUCUUUUCUAGCUGUAUGAACCAUGCAAUUAUUUUGCAGUGUGAUGCGUCUGAUCCUGGAGC
rnacentral:lncRNA from 1 species